GAUGAACGCUAGCGGCAGGCUUAACACAUGCAAGUCGAACGGCAGCACAGGUAGCAAUACUGGGUGGCGAGUGGCGCACGGGUGCGUAACGCGUAUGCAACCUACCGUCUAUCUGGGAGAUAGCCCGAAGAAAUUCGGAUUAAUACCCCAUAAUAUAUGUCUUUCGCGAUGUUAGACAUAUUAAAACUUUGGUCGGAUAGAGAUGGGCAUGCGUGACAUUAGCUAGUUGGUAAGGUAACGGCUUACCAAGGCUACGAUGUCUAGGGGGUCUGAGAGGAUUAUCCCCCACACUGGUACUGAGACACGGACCAGACUCCUACGGGAGGCAGCAGUGAGGUAAUAUUGGACGAAUGGGCGAAAGCCUGAUCCAGCCCAUGCCGCGUGCAGGAAGACGGCCCUAUGGGUUGUAAACUGCUUUUUANAUGGGAAUAAACCUCCGAACGUGUUCGGAGCUGAAGGUACCAUACGAAUAGGAUCGGCUAACUCCGUGCCAG
rnacentral:rRNA from 1 species